GGGAUUGCAGUGGCAAAGCUAGGCUAGGUCUUGGAGGCUGGUGUAAGGCGAUGUGGGUGAAGGCAGGAGGCUGAUGGAAAGACUGGGGGGAAGAAAAGCCGAAAUGGAUUCACGGUGCCUUGGAUGAAGGACGAGAGGGGAACUGCAAGCUCCUUCAACUGGUUCUGUCCGGUGAGAAGUGAUCAAGCUUGGGCUGACAAGAGGCUCAGGGAGCCCUCACGUUCUUUCGCUUUUUUACCUGCCAAUCAAACUGCUACAAGACAACACCCUGAUCUGGCAUGGACAUUCAUUGCAGUCACCUGGAGUCACGGAAAUGACCAUGAUUGCCUGAACUUUCAUGACUUCUGUGGAUAACUGUGGUUGCAGAAAAGAGAAAACCUGGACCGUGAGGGACAUUUCACUCCCUGGGCUUUGGCCUCCCUACAGCGUUGGCUCAGCUCUAGCUACUUGGAAGGUCGUGGCAAUGCUGUCUCAGAAUGUCCGUUUCUAGAGUACAGAGAAGAAAUUCUAGCUUGACGUCCACGUGCAUUUGUCUGUGUUUCAGAGGAAAUUCCAAUUCUAAACUCUUGGAAGAAACAAUUUCUCGGCAUGCUGAAGAGAAUUGCUGUUUUUUGGCACCUGAAACACUUUUACCCAAGGGUUCUGAUUAUUUAAAUAAUUGGUAUGCUAUAAAUAUUCUGGUUGACAGAAAUGUGGUUUAAUGUAGAUGAGUUGUAAAAACAUGAGACAAACAUGCUCCAGGCUA
rnacentral:lncRNA from 1 species